UCAGACGAUGCGUCAUGCAUAUCAAUAACGGAGGAAAAGAAACUAACAAGGAUUCCCCUAGUAACGGCGAGUGAAGCGGGAAGAGCUCAAAUUUGAAAUCUUAAAGGGUUUCCCUUUACGAAUUGUAGUUUAAAGAAGUGUUUUCUGUUGAGGUUUUGGUAAAAGUUCUUUGGAAUAGGACAUCAUAGAGGGUGAGAAUCCCGUAUUUGACCUUUACUUUCAACUUUGUGAUACACUUUCAAAGAGUCGGAUUGUUUAGGGAAUGCAGUCCAAAAUGGGUGGUAAAUUUCAUCUAAAGCUAAAUAUUGGCGAGAGACCGAUAGCGAACAAGUACCGUGAGGGAAAGAUGAAAAGAACUUUGAAAAGAGAGUUAAACAGUACGUGAAAUUGUCAAAAGGGAAGCGUUUGACACCAGUGUUGUUUUUCUGAAAAUCAAUUAAAGAACUGUUUAUGCUAAGUUGUUUAGACUUUAUCAGCUAACUGUUUAGUUUUGAGCUUUUCUUUAAUGCACUUUUCAGUUAACAAGUCAACAUCAAUUUCUUUUGCUGUAAAAAAGCUUGAGGAAGGUGGCUUGAGAUUCGUCUUAAGUGUUUAUAGCCUCUUGCCUAUGCAGUCGGAGAGAUUGAGGUCUGCAGCGUAGAUCCUUCGGGGCUAAAUGCAUUUGUGCUAAGUUAUAGCAUUUUAUAGACAACUUGUUGACUAUGAUUUGUCUUGUAGCUUACUUGCUUAUGUUAUUUUACCUACGCUUAGGAUGUUGAGCGCAUGUCUCUCUCU
rnacentral:rRNA from 1 species